rnacentral:rRNA from 1 species
AUUGAACGCUGGCGGUAGGCCUAACACAUGCAAGUCGAAUGGUAACAGGAAACAGCUUGCUGUUUCGCUGACGAGUGGCGGACGGGUGAGUAAUGUCUGGGAAACUGCCUGAUGGAGGGGGAUAACUACUGGAAACGGUAGCUAAUACCGCAUAACGUCGCAAGACCAAAGAGGGGGACCUUCGUGCCUCUUGCCAUCAGAUGUGCCCAGAUGGGAUUAGCUAGUAGGUGGGGUAACGGCUCACCUAGGCGACGAUCCCUAGCUGGUCUGAGAGGAUGACCAGCCACCCUGGAACUGAGACACGGUCCAGACUCCUACGGGAGGCAGCAGUGGGGAAUAUUGCACAAUGGGCGCAAGCCUGAUGCAGCCAUGCCGCGUGUAUGAAGAAGGCCUUCGGGUUGUAAAGUACUUUCAGCGGGGAGGAAGGGAGUAAAGUUAAUACCUUUGCUCAUUGACGUUACCCGCAGAAGAAGCACCGGCUAACUCCGUG